CCAGGAAAGGGGAGAACCUGUCCAUUUCCAGAGCAUUUCCCCAGUAGAUCUGUUUGCUUCCUACAACCUCUGAAGACAUAUAAUUACGACACUAUGGCAGGGAUUUUGCGUUCAGUGGUUCACAGGCCCCCAGGCAGGCUACAGACUGUGACAAAACGUGUGGAAUCUCUCAUGGAUUGGAUUCGUCACAAAGUUACCAAAUCAAGAAUUCCAGAUAAAGUGUUUCAGCCUUCACCUGAAGAUCAUGAAAAGUAUGGUGGGGAUCCACAGCACCCUCAUAAACUACAUGUUGUUACCAGAAUAAAAAGUACAAUAAGACGACCAUAUUGGGAAAAAGAUGUAAUCAAGAUGCUCGGAUUAGAAAAAGCACACACUCCUCAAGUUCAUAAGAACAUCCCUUCAGUAAAUGCAAAGCUGAAAGUGGUUAAGCAUCUCAUAAGAAUCCAGCCUCUGAAGCUGCCUCAAGGACUUCCCACAGAAGAGAACAUGGCUAACACAUGCCUCAAGAGUACUGGGGAGUUAGUAGUGCAGUGGCAAAUGAAGCCUGUGGACACCUGUAAGCCCAGCACUCAGGGGAUGAAGGCAGAAGAAUCCUUGCAAGUUCAAGGAUAG